GCCUGGCCUUAAACCUUGACCACUUACACCAAAAUCCGCCGGGGGACUACGAGCCUCAGCUUAAAACCCAAAGGACUUGGCGGUGCCCCACACCCACCUAGAGGAGCCUGUUCUAUAAUCGAUAACCCCCGCUUAACCUAACCACUUCUAGCCAGUCAACCUAUAUACCACCGUCGCCAGCCCACCCUGUGAAGGCAAACAAGUAGGCAAAAUUACUAGCCAUAAAAACGUCAGGUCAAGGUGUAGUUUAUGAAGUGGGAAGAAAUGGGCUACAUUUUCUGUAAACAGAAUAAACGAAAGACCACUAUGAAACCUGGUCAGAAGGAGGAUUUAGCAGUAAAAAGAAACAAUAGUGUUCUUUUUAAGGCGGCCCCGGGACGCGCACACACCGCCCGUCACCCUCUUCAAAAAUACACUACAACUAAAUAAAAACUAACCAAUUUUAAGAAGAGGCAAGUCGUAACAUGGUAAGCGCACCGGAAGGUGAGCUUGGAACAAAAUGUAGCUUAACCUAAAGCCCUUCGCUUACACCGAACCAAUGUUCGUUUGAACCGAACCAUUUUGGACUCAAAGUCUAGCUCACACAACACACCACCUUACACACCACCACCCACAUCUACUAAUUAAAACAUUCUGAAUACUUAGUAUUGGCGAUAGAACAUUAUCUCAAAGCUAUAGACAUAGUACCGCAAGGGAAAGAUGAAAUAGAAAUGAAAAACCACCAAAAGCCACCAACAGCAGAGACUUA
rnacentral:misc_RNA from 1 species